GCCCUUGUAGCUCAGUGGUAGAGCGCAGCACUUGUACUAAAUUGUAAUUUAUGCUGAGGUCAGUCGUUCAAUCCGGCUCCGGGGCA